GUUCAUCUUAUACUUUCUCUGCUGUAGCACUGGAAUCAGUCAUUUCUCCAUGGAAUCCUGUUUCUCUUUCGUGGAAAAUGAGGGCUGGUGACAUAUCAUGAAAAGAGGUCCACAGAGUGAAGAACUGAGGCUUCCAGCCAACAGCCAUAUUAGGGGCACCAUGAAUCCUUCAGUCCCAAUCAAGCCUUCGGAUGGUUGCAGCCCUGGCCAGCAGCUUGACUUCAAUGUCAUCAGAAACCUUGAGCCUGAACUACCAAGUUGGCUACAUGGAGAUCUACGGCAACGAGAUGGUGCUGUGUGUGGCCCAGCAGUUCCCGUCUAACAUUCAACAGUGGUUCUGCAAAGCCUCAAGGAGCAGAGCUAGCAAUAGCAGCAGAUGGGGAGACUCCAGAGUGUUCAUCAGUUUGGGAUGAGACCUUCGCUGGACCUCCUGUUUGUGUUGCAUUAGUUCUUUGGAGGUUCUAUGUGACACAGGGGACUGGGGCAGACACAAGAGGGUAAAAAUAAAUCUUCUGAUGUGCUGCUUUUAAAAUAUGUCAGUAAAUUCUUCAACACUCUGCAGUAGGUGGAAACUAAUUGCUCUCAUUCUCAGGUGUGGACUGGACAC